rnacentral:lncRNA from 1 species
UGGGGUGUAAGGUUGGGGGUCCGUCUCAGUGUAGAAAUGGAGUCUCACAACUUUUGAAGUCUCAAGGCUUCACUUGGCCCUUUGUCUUCUUAGCAGCCUAAUCCUUAGCAUUGGGGAAAGGAGGCUUCACUGAAUCUUCUGCUUUGGAAAAAGAAUCCUGCAAGAUUUAGAACUUUGGUAGGGCCCAAAGGCCUGGGCACAUAAUAAUGAUUCUUAAAGGGUGUCAUCUGCAUUUACCAAUCAGUUUAAAGAGCCCUAAAAGGGAAAUAGGCUGAAGAGGAAGGAACUAUAUAUAUAUCAGUUCAUUAUAUUCACCAGGGUGUUAACAUUCAAAACAACCCUAGAGGGGCAAUGUUAUUAAACCCUAAUAUGUAGGUGAAGACACAGACUAAGAGCAGCUAUGUGACAUACCCAAGACACACAGUUAGAAAUGGGGGAAAUUGGGGUUCUAGUCAAAUGUGUCUGAUCCCUACACCUGUUCCCAGUUCUGAUGGCCUGAAGCUUUUUUGGCCACAGUAAAGUCACACACACAAAAAAUUGAGUUGGUGAGGAUGUCGAGGAAAAGAGACAGUCAUACAUUCCUG